rnacentral:rRNA from 1 species
GACGAACGCUGGCGGCGUGCCUAAUACAUGCAAGUUGAGCGAUGAAGAUUGGUGCUUGCACCAAUUUGAAGAGCAGCGAACGGGUGAGUAACGCGUGGGGAAUCUGCCUUUGAGCGGGGGACAACAUUUGGAAACGAAUGCUAAUACCGCAUAACAACUUUAAACAUAAGUUUUAAGUUUGAAAGAUGCAAUUGCAUCACUCAAAGAUGAUCCCGCGUUGUAUUAGCUAGUUGGUGAGGUAAAGGCUCACCAAGGCGAUGAUACAUAGCCGACCUGAGAGGGUGAUCGGCCACAUUGGGACUGAGACACGGCCCAAACUCAGACGGGAGGCAGCAGUAGGGAAUCUGCGGAAAGGGAAGAAAGUCUGACAGAGCAAAGCCGCGGGAGUGAAGAAGGGUUUCGGAUCGUAAAACUCGGUUGGUAGAGAAGAACGGUGGUGAGAGUGGAAAGCUCAUAAAGUGACGGUAACUACCCAGAAAGGGACGGCUAACUACGUG